GUGAAUCCUGCCAGGACUGGGUCCUUCCCUUCAAGUUUCAGGUUACUCCACCUGAACAUCCUUCUGGGAGGGAGCAGGAUGUGAACCUGGAGGAAUGAGUGAAGUCCUUCCCUGGCUGUCCUUGAUGGGGCUGAGGGUGGCCUCAGCACAUAAGGUUCCACAUGCUGUCUUAUUGCUGUAUAUAGGAAAAGCAAAAUACAAGUGGUGAACACAGCCAACCAGCCAGCCUGUCUGUCUGCCUUCUGCUCUUUCUUUGAAGUACCUAUUCUGUGUGCCAAACACUGUGUAAGACCUUGGACAGAGCACCAAGCGAGACAGAAACAGCUCCUGUCUUUCUAGAACAAUAGCCUGGGCUGGAGAGACAGACAUUAACCAGAAUCUUGAUUUUGUCCAACUAUUGGCUGACUAUGUCUUUUGGGGCCAUCCUCUGCCCCAGUUGGUAAAUCCCGACUCAGCUAAAUCAAUCAUGAUAUUUCUACUUCUCUUGCUAGUCUUUGGUUUAGGGGUCACCUUGUUACCCAAUUCUGGCCAAAGGGCCACAGGAGAAAUUCUCUUGGCAGGCUUUGGGAAAAGUUUUUCGUCUUCUCAAGAAGAGAUGGAAAAGAAGAAAAAACUCUUUUCUUUUGAACAUUUGGUCCUUUUGUGAAGCUACUGCUGCCAGCUUGAAACUAUAAGGGGCAACUCUGAGGACAAAAGCCAAGAUACUGAAGAGGGCACCAGAGAGAAACAACAGGAAUAAACCAGGUCCUAAAUGACGUCAUUGAGGCUCUCUGUGAACUUCCUUUUAUGUUAGUGCAUAUUUUUUAUUGUUUGAGCAAUUGGAGUUCAGGAUUUUGCUUACUUGCAGCCAACAGCAUGCUCACUGAUUCAGGUGGUCACUCUUAACAAGUCACAAGUGAACAACUAAUGACUGAGCAUGUUUGAGGGAGCAAGUUCUGUUUCUAUGUCCAGCUCUAUGAUCUGACUGUUUCUUUUAUUUUAACCUAUGGGACUGGCUGCUAUCCAAACCAGAAUAAUACUUCAGAAAUAGAUAUCAGUCUUUAGAACUGAGUAUUGUGACUAUUCAUAGUAGCCAACACAUCAAUAUUUGCUCUAGUAAGGGAAUUAGCCAGGUUUUUGGAGUAGGUAUUUAGCAAACAAUCUUCAGUGCAGUAAGGACUAUAUCAGC